UGUGUAGGUGGGUUGGUAAGUCAGUGGUGAAAUCUCCAGGCUUAACUUGGAAACUGCCAUUGAUACUAUCAAUCUUGAAUACCGUGGAGGUCAGCGGAAUAUGUCAUGUAGCGGUGAAAUGCUUAGAUAUGACAUAGAACACCAAUUGCGAAGGCAGCUGGCUACGCGGAUAUUGACACUGAUGCACGAAAGCGUGGGGAUCAAACA
rnacentral:rRNA from 1 species